CCAGAGAGAGAGAGAGAGAGAGAGAGAGAUGCUGUUGAACUCCGGUGGUGGGUCAGUAAUGGCUGUGGCAUGCAAGCCUUGGUGGAGGCUGACGUGCUUAGCUUCGAAUUCCAACGCAGAGCAGCUACGCGCUCAACUUGAUCAGCUUCAAUCCGAGGCUGACAUUGCCAGAGCCAAAGCUAACAAUGCAAGAAUGAGGCUGCUGCGACUGUCGGAGGCGGCUGAGAACCUUAAACGACAAGCAGCUAUUAGCGUCCGAACUGGGAAGGAAGACGCUGCGAGGGAGCUUCUCUUUCAGAAGAAGAAGGUCAUGGAGGCUUUGGAAAAAUCUAAGAAUCGCAUUGAGUUUCUUGAUCAACUUUCCACAAAGCUUAAUCAGGCGAUAUCUCUGAAAGAAAGGCAGCUAAUUGGAAAUGUUGUUAUGGAUCUUGAAGUUGUUAGUGAGGAUGCUUCCACUCCCAUUCGGAUAGUAUCUCCAACACUGAAAGCUACAGAAAAUGUGAUCGGAAACGAAGGCUUUACGUCCAAUGAUCAGAAAUUCAGCGAUGAUCAAGAAUUGCAGUCCAGUACAGAGGACGGUGAAGCAAGCUUACCUGUCGAUCAGGAGCAAGAGGAUCUUGAAGGAUCUCUGCCAGGAACGGUGUCAAGUGAAGAUGAGGUUAUGAGUGGUUUGAAAGGAAUAACUUCUUUUGGGGGUUUCUUAGGACAUCUGGAUGAACAGCUCAACAUAAUUGAGGCAGAACUUGUCACUGUUUUAAGGGUCUCAACCCUGAUAUUGGACAGUGAGGCGAAAACCAAAAACUUCAGGGUGCAGCAAACACUUGAACUUCUUGAGAGCAUCCGGGGAAUUAGACAGAGAAUUGCCAAUUCAAGGUUGGCUGAGGUUGAGAGCAAAUGAAGCUUUAUUUGUCCAAGUUAAGCUCCCUUCCAGCUGGUGAGAACUAAAGUUAGGGUUAGCAGUUUUACAAGCUCGAGAUUCGAGAUGGUUCGUUUAUUUUUGAUUUCACAGUUUUUAUUUUUGAGUUGUACUGAAAAUUAUGUAUGUAAACUGUAAUAGUCGGCACUGUCCCAAAAUUGUAUUAUUUUGAGAAAAAUUAUAAAUUUAUGAACUGUUUUAGUAUUAUUUGUAAACGAAAGACU